ACCGGCCCGCGCCCCGCCAUGGAGGACCUGGAUGCCCUGCUCUCUGACCUGGAGACUACCACCUCGCACAUGCCAAGGUCAGGGGCUCCCAAAGAGCGCCCUGCGGAGCCUCUCACCCCUCCCCCAUCCUAUGGCCACCAGCCACAGACAGGGUCUGGGGAGUCUUCAGGAGCCUCGGGGGACAAGGACCACCUGUACAGCACGGUAUGCAAGCCUCGGUCCCCAAAGCCUGCAGCCCCGGCGGCCCCUCCAUUCUCCUCUUCCAGCGGUGUCUUGGGUACUGGGCUCUGUGAGCUAGAUCGGUUGCUUCAGGAACUUAAUGCCACUCAGUUCAACAUCACAGGUACCAGGGUGACUGAGAGAGGCCUUGAUGCGAUAGGGGCAGGGGAGGGAAGGGUGGGGCAGAGACUAAGAGGAAUACACUUCCCAGAGUAGCAGUUAAAGGGACCUAAAGCCUCAAGUGUGA
rnacentral:sRNA from 1 species